AGCGAACGCUGGCGGCAGGCUUAACACAUGCAAGUCGAGCGGGCCCUUCGGGGUCAGCGGCCGACGGGUGAGUAACACGUGGGAACGUACCCUUUGGUUCGGAAUAACGCUGGGAAACUAGCGCUAAUACCGGAUACGCCCUUUUGGGGAAAGGCUUGCUGCCGAAGGAUCGGCCCGCGUCUGAUUAGCUAGUUGGUGGGGUAAUGGCCUACCAAGGCGACGAUCAGUAGCUGGUCUGAGAGGAUGAUCAGCCACACUGGGACUGAGACACGGCCCAGACUCCUACGGGAGGCAGCAGUGGGGAAUAUUGGACAAUGGGCGCAAGCCUGAUGCUGCCAUGACGCGUGAGUGAUGAAGGCCUUAGGGUUGUAAAGCUCUUUUGUCCGGGACGAUAAUGACGGUACCGGAAGAAUAAGCCCCGGCUAACUUCGUG
rnacentral:rRNA from 1 species